ncrna:unclassified sequences Glutamine-II riboswitch (downstream peptide RNA)
UUACGUUGAGCCACAAGGCUGCAGUAAAUGCUUACCAGGCAACGGGGGUAAGUU